rnacentral:tRNA from 1 species
UCCUCUUUAGCUUAGUGGUAGAGCGUCGCACUUGUAAUGCGAAGGUCACUAGUUCAAUUCUGGUAAGGGGAA